CAUCCCGCACCCCCGGGCGCGGCUCCCGUGGGGCUCGUCUUCCUGCACGCGGUCUCGGCGAGCUGUUUUCGUGUUUAGGCCUCACAGCACCAGAGCCGCUACUUGCAGCCCACCCUCCGCACGCCACCCUCACGGCAAGCCUUGGCUUUCGGGCAGCGCAGCGCUGCCUCCUUCGCCCAAACAAGCGGACUCCUUUCCACCCCCAGCGGCUGUUCCCUCGCUCGCCCCUCGUUUGCCACCCGCGGCUGGGACCCCUGCAAGCACUCCCCUUCCUCCUAGAACGUAGAGGCGAUGAGGGCUCAUCUCGGGUCUUUGCCGCGUUCUUGGAUUUUUCCUUCAUCGCGACUACUGCAAGGCGAAGAUGACACUGGCAUAUUAGACCCGAUUCUUCCGAAUUGCAGGGGGCAUGGAUUUCGGCUUCAGAAAAUGGUGCGAGGUGGGGGGAGGCGAUCUCUGAGCCACAACCACGACAGGCAAGCCGCUCGGGAGAAGGCAGUUCUGCUCUGACCCUGCAAUAUCUAGCGCUUCGAAACCGAGACUGAAAGACCUACACGAAC